rnacentral:rRNA from 1 species
GACGAACGCUGGCGGCGUGCUUAACACAUGCAAGUCGAACGGAAAGGCCCUGCUUUUGUGGGGUGCUCGAGUGGCGAACGGGUGAGUAACACGUGAGUAACCUGCCCUUGACUUUGGGAUAACUUCAGGAAACUGGGGCUAAUACCGGAUAGGAGCUCCUGCUGCAUGGUGGGGGUUGGAAAGUUUCGGCGGUUGGGGAUGGACUCGCGGCUUAUCAGCUUGUUGGUGGGGUAGUGGCUUACCAAGGCUUUGACGGGUAGCCGGCCUGGGAGGGUGACCGGCCACAUGGGGACUGGGAUACGGCCCAGACUCCUACGGGAGGCAGCAGUGGGGAAUAUUGCACAAUGGGCGGAAGCCUGAUGCAGCAACGCCGCGUGCGGGAUGACGGCCUUCGGGUUGUAAACCGCUUUCGCCUGUGACGAAGCGUGAGUGACGGUAAUGGGUAAAGAAGCACCGGCUAACUACGU